UACGAAGGGGGCUAGCGUUGCUCGGAAUGACUGGGCGUAAAGGGCGCGUAGGCGGAUUGGUCAGUCAGACGUGAAAUUCCUGGGCUUAACCUGGGGGCUGCGUUUGAGACGGCUGAUCUAGAGUGGGGAAGAGGGUCGUGGAAUUCCCAGUGUAGAGGUGAAAUUCGUAGAUAUUGGGAAGAACACCGGUGGCGAAGGCGGCUCACUGGCUCGUAACUGACGCUCAUGGCACGACAGCCGUGGGGAUCAAACAGG
rnacentral:rRNA from 1 species